GUACGGGAGGCAGCAAUUAGGAAUCUUGCGCAAUGGGGGAAACCCUGACGCAGCGACGCCGCGUGAAGGAUGACGGCCUUCGGGUUGUAAACUUCUUUUAAGAGGGAAGAAGAAAGUGACGGUACCUCUUGAAUAAGCCCCGGCUAACUACGUGCCAGCAGCCGCGGUAAUACGUAGGGGGCGAGCGUUGUCCGAAGUUACUGGGCGUAAAGAGCGCGUAGGCGGGCUAUUAAGUUGGAUGUGAAAUCUCCGGGCUCAACCCGGAAACCGCAUCCAAAACUGGCAGCCUUGAGGUAUGGAGAGGGAAGUGGAAUUCCUGGUGUAGCGGUGAAAUGCGUAGAUAUCAGGAGGAACACCCGUGGCGAAGGCGGCUUCCUGGUCAUAUCCUGACGCUGAGGCGCGAAAGCUAGGGGAGCGAACGGGAUUAGAUACCCCGGUAGC
rnacentral:rRNA from 1 species